CGACCAUUAAUUAAGGUAAUUAGGCCCUGGUCAGCAAUUAGUAACCACAGAUAGCUUUUAGCAGGAGCUGAGACGUCCCGGCUGGUGAGGGGUUUGGUUCCAUACCAUCUGCUGACAAAUGUCACCGCGGACUCUUUGGUUUCACAGACGGGGAACUGGAGAGCCGUGUUUAAAAAUGACCUCUGUGUGAUCCAGGCUGACUCCUAGACUCCCACAGCUUCUGCUGCUGCAGGAUCACUUUGUUUGUUCUUUCUUUGGUUCUUUUCGCUUUCAAACAUGGAAGAGCGAGCUCUAUGAAAAUCCAUACAUGCUGCACACGGCCAGAGUGGGAAUAGGAAACAUUCACUGCACAAGGUAUCGAUCAAAAUUAGAACAUCUGGUCUGAGUGCUCUGGCAGCGUGCUGUCCUGUGGCAUGGCUGAGCCAGAGUGACACUGCCACCAUCCACAGAAACAAAACAUGAGUCAAGAGCCAGAAGGUUCUGGAGGGGGAGCGUCAUGAUGCCCCCUGCAGCAGCAGCAGCCACCAGGCUCUGGAUGUUGGCUGUGGGCAGAGAGAGAACGAGGCCCUGCUGCCCGCCCAGGUGUCCGCCUGCGUUGAAGGGGAUGAGGAUGGGCUGGUUCAUGCCUGGCGCUGCCCCAGACAUUACGCCGCCUACUGCGUUGGCCAGCUGCUGGGCCACCAGGAGAGACUGAAACACACAUGCAUAGGAUCAUUGGUUAUAGAAACACAGAUGGGUAGUUUAUCAUUAUACAUAUUUUUUAUAUGACCAAAAAUAUCUUUAUUGUGUUGUCCUAAACAUUUUGGUCCUUCUUAUACUGUAAGCUAAAUAACAUUACUGCUUGUAAUGUGAUUACUUUUAAUUACAGACAAAUUACAUUACCAUAUUUGAGGUACAUAAAAGAAAAUUAUAUGAAAGUAAAUUCUCAACUAUCUCAGAUUUUAUACAAAUACCCAGCAUGCCACAUUUUCCAAGUUCUAAUCCUGUGUUCUUGUGUUUAUUGUUCAGUUACCUGUCUCAUUACAUGCUAAAUAUUUCCCGAUUCCUAGUCUAACAGCGCGGGUGAGGGAGGUGCGUGGAGGCCAACGAUCCUCUGCAGCUCCCUCCACAGUUUGGUACUGUGUGUCACCGUUUUCACUAAGACACGUCCCUCUUUUUAGCCCUCUAGUAACUAAAACUCAUCCACGUGCGAAAAUAUGUCACAUUACAGAAACUAAACAUGCUCAAAGUUAAAUGUAAAUAUAAAGCGUUUCCUCUAAUAAGAAAACAAUAUAAGGUAAUGUAAUCGAUUACAGUAACAUCUAACAUCAAGGCAAAAUACCAUUAAUGUACUCUUAUACUUAACGCUGGUUGAAAUCAUGAAGAAUCACUGUUAGUUAUUACAUGAGACCAAACUCAAGUUUAUUUUGUUUUUAAUCACAGCUUGCUCAAAAUCUCUGUAGUCAAUAACUGAAUUAUCACCUGUCAUUACUUGUGUGUUGUUGAACACUUGUUUUGCUACAGAGUAAGGGCAUCACAUUUAGUUGAUGUAUUUACACUAUCUUCUAUCCUGGGAUGCUUGAUUGAGACAAGUAUAGCAGUAGCGACUGUAUCACUAAUCAAUGUAUUCUGAUGAAUGCAGUUGUUUUGCAGAUUAAUUCUGGGCUUUGCUGUGUCACAGACUGACAGUAAAAACACACUGCCGUCGGUACUGACAGAGAUCAAAUCCAAUCUUUGUGAAAGAGCUGCAAAUUUUUUCUUUCACAGAGAUGCAGAGUGAUUUAUGUUUCAUCCCAUUGAACAAAUCUGUGGUACCACAGAAAUGUGCCUGAAAUACACAGUGCUUUUCGGGGGAAAAAAAAAAAGUAGCAGUACUUCACUCUUUUUGAUGAGGGAUAUAACACAUCACUCUCGUCUCUUCAUGUACCCAUUCAUUCAUAUUAGCUAAAGCGGAAUCUGUGCAGUCAUACCCAUAGAGGAAAAGAUAUGUUAUCACAGCUAUCGCUCUGAUAUAUUUUACACAGUAGAAGAUCUCGUCAAAUGUAUUUUCCGAGGAAGUGGGUUUGGAAAUACACCUUUUUUUCUUUUAAGAGCUUUGAGCCACAAGUGGGAAGGUUUGUACCGUGGCUGAAAUCUCCAUGAAUACACAGAGAAUGACAUCUUAAAUUUCAUUCAUUCUGAUAAAACCUUUUUCAAAUUAUGUCAGCAUUUGAGCAUGUCAAACUGAAUUUACACAGGAGGUACGAGACAGGAGAUACCGAAGAUGCUGCAGAAUCCAACAAAAUUACUGUUUAAACAUCGAAUUGAAUUGUUUGGAAUAAAAUAUAAUAAAAGUACAUUGUCAGCUUGUGUUGCGUCCACAGUAAAGCAGCCUUUAGACGUUGCUAGGUAAGCCUGGCUGCACUGUGUUGACUCUGUGACUUACGUUCACAAGCCUUUAACUCCAAUUGUCAGCUAUCUGCUUCUGUUUUGCAUGGUGUGUCUGCAGCUUGCACAGGAUGCGGAGCGGGCUGACUGGUGCGAAGACCCCACCAUGCUCCCAAGCCUGGUGCUCCUGGGUGACAGGCGUGUCACUGUGAUAACCCUGCAUGGUGUAGAAUGCCUGCACCUACUCCGACAUACAUGUGAUCACAGUUUAAGAGGUGCUGUUGGAAAAGCUGUUGUACAGUGCUUGGCAGGCCUGACAGCUGCGUGUUGAGAAGCGCUCUCCUAGGGGCCACACAGACGCACAGGCUGGGUAUGGGUUGAGAUCUGGAUGGGGAAGCAGCCCCGCUCAGGACUGGAUGUGGUACCCAGCCUCUCUGCCCAUCAGGGGAGAAUAGGCCCUUCUAUCUGCUUGGCAGCUCUGGCACUGAGAAAUUGCCCAUAAUCACCCAGAUAGCAGACUUUUGUCAUCCUAACUGCGAGUGGGAAACAGAAGGAAGGUGGAUUCAUGUUGGGUAAACUACCAUCGGAUAAUGGUUGUUCGAACAAUAUCCGGCUCUGGAGCGAGAAUCUAUCAAAACAUAUUGAUCCUGGAACAAGAGAAUUGGGUAUGGCAUGCGGAGCGCCUUUGUUUCUGAAAAGUGUUAGCUUCACAGAGACUGUACUGACAGCAUUAAUAUAUUAGAUGGUGACUGUUGAGAGCCGCCUGCUGAGGCUCAGACUCUAACUGCUGCCUGCUCGAGAUGCCUUCUCUUUUGUGUUUAUUUCUUAUCUAUUAUCCAAACAGUGGCUUUGACCAGCGAGGGUAUCUGUAAUCAGAAAAGUGCUUUUAAUUAAGCUCAUUUUUUAUCUCCACUUGCAGCAGAUUGACUUUCACUAGGGAUUUCUCUCGACAUAAACCUGCCCGACAGAACUGAAACGGCUCUCCUCCCGUCUCGUGUUUCCUCUUUUGUUUAUCCUGAUGAGGAUUGACUGUCAUUGAGUAACACUGAGUGCAGAGAGAAUGGCCUUAUUAAAGAGGGUGGAGGAAACCUGACGAUCUCUGUGUGUGUGUGCUUGUGCGUGUUGAGCGGUGACAUUGAGCAACACUAAUGAGAUAGAUGUUCAUUAAACAUCGCCGAGCCACCAGGCCAAUAAAUCCAAUCAGAUAGGACAAUUCCUGAUUGAGCUAUUAACAGGGCUGCAGGCUCGGGCUCUUUGCUCCCCUGCUUGUUUUGACAAGGCCGGUAUUGUCAGCUCAUUAGUGCCACAACUCAAUUACAUGUGAAGAUGAUGUGUGAUGACAAAAUACUUUACGAUUUCACAUUUUAGCUGAAUAUUAUUUAGCGUCAGUGGGGGUGUUUUAUGUUUCUGGUUUCAUUCACCACAUGCACUGAGAGGAUGUGAAUGUAACAAGACUAAGUCAGCGAUUUUGUUACUGAAACUGCCAUGCAAACGCUUUAAUCUUACUCCCAUUAUGGCUGUGAUCAGAGUAAACUGUCAAUCUUUCAAAUUACUGACUAAAAACUUAGAUUGGCUCCUUUGAGUGCUUUCAUUCUCCACGUGUGCAGCAGUGGUCAUCGAAUGGCUAAAAAGAGCAGUGUGUUCUCAUGGAGGCAAAGCCCACAAACUAAACGAGGGGACCGGAGACAACGUCGGACCGCUCAUCAUCAAAAAGAAGGAUGCUUAAGCCAACCAAUCAGAGAACUCGGUCCUCCCUUGACUUCUCAUGCACCCGGCCCCGGUUUGUCCGAUCAUUUAUCAUCAUUACUGUAUCACACACUGAUGGUUACGGUGACACUGCUACAGUCAAACCGGUGGAGAUUGUUCAGCACAGAAACUCAGAAAGUGCUUACAACGGGAAUUUUGAUUUCAUUCAGUCUACAUUGUUCCUAUAUUAAGGUCAUUUGAUGAGGGACGGUCAACACAGUCAGAUGGAGGCCUUUUCAGUGGAUCUGAUAUAAGUAUUAUAUACCUGUAUCUCCUUCCUUCUUAACUCCUCUAGGUGUGGAGCAGGUGUUUGAAACCUGAUGAGGCUGGCAGUUUUUUGCCUCGGUCUGUUCAAUGUUUCGCAGUAAUUUUAAGAGGUUUGAAAUUAGUAAAAAUAGGGUCAAAAUAGUUAAAGCCAUUAAAAAGAGUGUAAAGAACUUGUAACCAAAUGCAACAAGAAGUCCUCCUUCAGGAGGCAGGCAUUUCCGAACUCACAGCCAAUCAAAGGCUGCCUCAAGAUGGACGGUAUAAUUAGAGGAAAAAAGACCUUCAGAUGCAAAAAGAAUCAAUGUAUUACAUGUGAAUAAAUGUGACAAUAGUGUAUGUUUUAAAGAAAUAUUUUGAAGAUUUGAAGUUUUCAGGGGCAAUAAAUAGGCAGACAAACAACAAUGGCAGAUCAAGAGAUAAUAAAUUGAUUCUUUUUGCAACUUCUCCAACUUUUGUUGUUGUUUGUGUGCUCCUAUUUGACACAGUUACUCUUGGCUGCACACACCUGACACUGCUGCUUGAAAAUACUGGGUCGAAGAGCACAAACUCUUUUACAUUUGUGUGUCUAACAUCUUAUUAUGCCAGUUUCCUUUUAAUGUUUAUGUUAACUUUCUCCAGACCUCUGUGAGCUUUACAUAAAAGAGUGUAACUCAACUGUUAUAGCUGAGGACAGGCAUCUACCUCUUCUGCAAACUUCCUGCCUCAAUCAAAAUCUGAGCUUAUGUGUUCACAUUAUCACUGAUUAAACAGAGUGUUUUAAGUUUGGCUUUAUUUUGUUGCAGAUCCCCUGACUCACCUGUGGACCCAUUGGGUAUCCUGGGUGUGACUGGCCCAGUUGACUCUGUUCAGAGGGACUGCUGCUGGCGUCAGACUGGACCGAACCAUCACGAGCUCCUGGGAGAGCAACAGUCAGAAAAGUAGAAAGAGAAAACAAACAGCCCACCUUAGAUCAACACGGACAAUAUAAGUAGAUAAACACACAACACAGACCACGCUGUGAUAUUACAACACAGAGCGUCGCACGGCGCAGAGGAGGGCAGUUGGGAAAGAAGGGGAAUUUGUAUUUAAGUGCUUUAUCAAUAACCGCUGUAGCAGUGAAUAAAUUACCAACCAGCAGAGAGGCUCAUUGAUGGGGGAUGAUGCAUACUGGCGGGUCCCCGAUGGCCUAGAUUACCGCUGAGAGAUAGAGCUCCACCACAAACGCUGGGGCCAUAUUAUUCAGCCAUUUACAUCACUGAGUAUCACUCAUCUAAACCCACUCCCCCCCCUCCGCUCUGAGCCCGCAGCUACGAGACACAAUUAGACCUGUUUGCUAUGAGGGCAGAGUGGAGCAGAGCAGACAGGGACAUGAUAAUAAGCUUGCUGAUGGCUGCAGGGAAAAUAAAGGACACAGACGAUUGGAUAUCAUAGCAAUCCCUAUCUAACAGAAUCUCUCAGCAGUGCACCGAGUGUGGACUGCCCUAAAAGGUCCGAAAGGCUGCUUUGACCCUCACCCUUUGACCCCGACGAUAUCGAGAUGGCACGAUGCCCUCACUGUUGACACAAAGGCUUGUGGAGUGCAAAGACGAGUAAAUCUUGCAGAAAGAACUGUCAGAAAAAUGAAAUAUCGCUUAGAUGUCUUUCACCAAAAUGACUGUCUGGAAGAAAAAUACAGUACCACCUGACUAAAAAUGACUGGAACAAGUUAAUGCGAAGGGCACUUGGCUCUUUCUAAAGCAAGAAAGUAUUGUUCAACCUCAACAAUAGUCUUGGGAACGUGGACAAAUCAAAGAUCAUUUUUAACAAUUUUAAUGAAAAACUAUACCAAACAAAUUGACAAGCUCACACUGAUCUUCACGGGGAUCGCUGUAAAGAUGUUGUUUCGUGGUUUAAGGGACGAACUUCUUUUGAACAAGCUGGUGAAGGUGAGGUUGUAGUGCGGCAAAAAUGUGGUAGUGUGGUGGCUGGUUGUCAAUACAGUGCAAAACGUCUACUCACUGAUUCAUCUCGCUCAUUAAUCUCUGCGCCAAUGACAAAUUCAGGCCUUCAAUUGAUGCCAACCUCCGUGUUUUACAACAUUAGCCUCAACCUAGGUGAAUAUGACUGUCCUCGACCUUCAAGCAGUUAUCCAAAGUAUUUAAGCAUCUUUGGAAACAUCUCUAUCAAGUUGUCUUUUUUUGUACAACAUUUUGUAUGGCUCUGAUUGAGUGUUGAGUUUGUAGAGAGUUUGUCUUUCCCAUAAUAACCAGCGAUUCAAUCAUUUCAAAACCAUUUGAAUCAACAUCUAGUGAUAGUGAUUGGAUUGUUUUCUUUUUCUUCUUCUUCUUCUUCUUCUUCUUCUUCUUCUUCUUCUUCUUCUUCGGAUUUAUUUAAUAUGAGUGCUUGGAGCUCCUGUUAAGUCAAUUUAAAAGCACAAUAACACUGACUUAUUUAUUUAUAAAAUACCAACGCGAUCAUUUUACAAAAAGGUUACAUGUCAUCAGUGAUUUAAUAAGCAUGAUUUAGUUUUGAAUGUAUGAUACAAAACCCCUCAUAAAAAGUGAAUAAAACAUCUUUUUAAAUGUACUCUCUCCUUCAUAAAACAGCUCUUCCUCUGAAUAAAGUGGAUUUUGUAGAUGAAGUCAAGCCAACCAUGUGGAAACAUGUUUGAAGGCCACACAACCUUGUUACACAGCACAAUGUUGGCAAUGAAUUAAAAAAAUGUAAUCACAUUUCCACUGUAUGAUCGAUUUUCUUAAAUGGAAUAUCGCAGCUUUUAAAUAAAGAA